rnacentral:lncRNA from 1 species
CCAAAAUGAGUUUCUUCUGCAACUGCAGCAAUCUCUCUACUUCCUUCUUCCUCCUCAUCUUCAUCAAUGCAACCAUUUUCGAAAUCCGAAACAGCUGCCCCUAUACCGUCUGGGCAGCCGCCUUACCCGGCGGCGGAAGGUAACUCGACCAAGGCCAGACCCGGAACCUUUCAGUGAGCUCCAACACAACCCAAGGCCACAUCUGGGGCAGAACCAAGUGCAGUUUCGAUGAAGCCGGAAGGGGGAACUGCGAGUCCGGUGGAUGUGGAGGCCUCCUUGAAUGCCAAGAAUAUGGUUCACCGCCCAACACCAUUGCCGAGUACGCCAUAAACCAAUUCAACAAAACUGAUUUCUUCGAUAUUUCUCUGGUGGUUGGAUUCAACCUUCCAAUGGAGUUUAGCCCAACUUCUGAUGGGUGCAAACGUGGGGUCAAGCGUACGUGCGACAUUAACGGGCCGUGCCCAAACGAGUUGAGGGACCCGGGUGGGUGUAACAACCCAUGUACCGUUUUCAACAAUACUCAGUACUGUUGCAAUACCGGGAGCUGUUAGCCUACACCUUCAUGUUUUUCAAGGCUAGCUGCCCAGAUGUAUACAGUUACCCUUUGGGAGAUGAUUCAAUCGGUACGUUUACCUGCGCCGCAUGCACUAACUAUCGUAUAGUCUUCUCCGAGUUUUGGGGUAGCCCAAAGUUUAAACCUUUUUGCAAAACUUACAAUCAAACUCGUCCUUUUUAUUAUCACCUAGAGUCAUAUUAUGUUUUUUUUUUCAAAAUUUAAGUUGAAAAUUUUAUUUUUGAAUUGAAGCCAUAAUUAAUAACCAAGACUUCAUUUUGAACGGAAACCUCAUUUGAUAAGUGAGACUUAGUUUUUUAAUUAAAACCUCAUUUUGACAAUUAAAACUUCAUUUAUUAAACUAAAACCUUAAUUGUGACUUUAGUUAUUUUUUUUACUUUAAAAUUUAAUUAAAAAUAUUAAAUUUCAAAUUAUUAUUGAAAUUAAAAAUAUUUACUUUAAUAAUAAAAAAUUAUAUAUUUAAGUUUAAGGAUUCAACAUUAUUCUAAUAAAGAUAAAUUGAUAAAUAAAAUAAAUAAAUGAAUAAUUUUAUUUAUCAAUAAAUUAAUAAUUUUAAAAUAAUAAAGUUAUAUAAUAUAUAAAUAAAAUAUAAAAUUAUAUAAUUUAUUAAUUUAAGUUAUAUUACAAAUACUAUAUGUUACCGGGCAACUAAAAAGGAAGAAAGUUAUGUAUAGGUUCUCUCUUUGUAAAGACACGUAAGAUUAUAUAAUUUUCUUUUUUACUAUAUGAAUAUUUAGUAAACAAUUUUUGUGACAUAGAUGAAACUACUAAAACUUAUAUUUUGUAGUAAACAUUUUUUAAUUAAUUUUAUUAGCUAAUUUUAAAAUGUAUCUUCAAGGCAUAUAUGUUGUGGGUAUAAAUAAUAAUUUUUUUUUAAUGAAAAAUUAUAAACAUAUACUUUAAAAUAAUAAUAAAAUCUAUAUAUAAAAGCUUAAGAAUAUACUAUUAUUUUAAUAAAGAUAAAUUUGUGAAAAUACAAAUAAAUUAAUAUCUUAAAAAUAAAACAAAUUAAAUAUCUUAAAUUAAUAAAUUAUAUAAUUUUAUAUCUUAUUAUAUUUAUCAAUUUAUCUUUAAACCUAAGUCCUAAGUCCAAGGUUUAAAUAUUUUAUUAUAUUUAUUAAUUUAUCUUUAUUGAAGUAAUACUAGAUUUUUAAGUUUAAACAUAUAAUUAAUUUAUUAUUAAAGUAUAUAUUUUUAAUUUCAACAAUAAUUUAUAAUUUAAUAUUUUAAUUAAAUUUUAAAGUAAAAAAAUAAUUAAUUGAAGCUUCAAUUGAAAAUUAAGACUUUAAUAAAAAAAUGAAGUCUCAAUUAUCAAUUGUGAAUUCAAUUUAAAAAUGAGGUAUGAUUUGACAAUUAAGGUUUCAGUUUAUAAAUGAAACCUUAAUUGUCAAUUGUGGUUUUAGUUCAAAAAUAAACCCUCAAUUGAUAAUUGAGGUUUUACUUAAAUUUUAAAAUAUAUAUAUAUUAUGAUACGACUCUUAUGUGACAAUAAAGGACUAGUUUGAACAUAAAUUUUAUAAAAAUGUUAAAUCUUACAUUUCUUUUUAUACAAGCUUAUUUAUUUUUGUUUCUUAAAAAAAAAAAAAUUAUCAGCUUCCCUUGAUAAGAUUUGAGGAAAAACAAAGAUGAGGUAGGAUUGGCUCUUCCAUGCCUCUAAGUCGAGCACCAUCUUUUAGAUUUUAACAAAGCUUAUUGCUAAAAUAUUUUCAUUUAGGGUCAUUAACUUUAACUUAGGGUUCAUCGAGGAACUUUUUCAGAAAUAAUUCUUAAAAAGUAAUUCUCAAGAAUAACUUUUAAAAAUAAUAUUUUAAUAUUUUUAAAAUAAAAAGUUUUGAAGAGCUUAGAAUAUUGUCAAUUUUUUUUUAUAUUUUUAAAUAUUUCUUAAAAAUAAUUCCUAUUUAUAAUACCUUAUUUUAAGACAUUCUUCGUGUUUAUUCAAUAAUUCCUAAAAAGUAAUUAAAAUAUAAUAUAUGUAAAAAAAAUCACUUUUCAUAGUUUUAGUUUUAAAUUUAUAAUUAACAAUCGAAUGUGUUUUUAUACUUUUUUUAUUCUAAAAACCAAAAAGAUAAAUCCUUAAUAGAAAUUUUCAAACAUUGUUUUAGUGUCCCACCCCAAGUCCACCUUCGCUCUAUAUAAACUCCUAGCCAUUUCCUCACGGACCACCCCAAACCAUAAAGCCCAUCUUCCUGAAAAAAUGGGCCUCUUCAAAACCCCUUUAAUUUCCUCAUUCCUUCUCACCACCCUAUUCUUCGCCUCCUGCCACGCAGCCACGCUGAUCAACAUCCAAAACCAUUGCUCCUACACAGUUUGGGCGGCGGCGGUACCAGGUGGGGGCAGGCAGCUUGGUCCGGGCCAAUCCUGGAGCCUCGAUGCGAACCCUGGCACAGCCCGUGUGUGGGCACGUACCAACUGCACCUUUGAUGGGUCAGGGAACGGGACGUGUGAGACCCGAGAUUGUGGUGGCCGCCUCCAAUGCCAAGCCUAUGGUACACCCCCUAACACCUUGGCCGAAUUCGCACUUAACCAAUUCAACAACAUGGACUUCUUCGAUAUAUCUUUGGUUGAUGGAUUUAAUGUGCCCAUGGCUCUUAAUUCUACUUCCAAUGGGUGCACCCGUGGCAUCCAAUGCAGCGCCGACAUAGUCGGACAGUGCCCUGAUGAGCUCCGAGCUCCCGGUGGUUGCAACAAUCCAUGCACUGUUUUCAGGACCGAUGAAUAUUGUUGUUAUUCUGGGAACUGUGGCCCUACAACUUACUCCAAGUUUUUCAAGGAUAGGUGUCCGGUGGCUUAUAGCAACCCUAAUGAUGAUCAAACAAGCACCUUUACAUGCCCUGGUGGUACUAACUAUGAUGUUAUCUUCUGCCCAUGAUGCCUCUACUAGUCCUGUUAGACGAUUUGGUACCAUCUUGGGAUCCAAAUGUCUAGAAGAAUAAAUUUGAGCACAUGUCCAUGUCCAUAGUCAUGUAAUAAGAUUUCUACCAUCAUAGAAAUCGAAUGAUUUUCAGAGGGGUUAGAAGCUUUGAAUAAUGUUUAAAUGUGCUUUACUUAUAAAAGUUUAGAACUAAUUCUUCAUAAAAAUAAUUUUGUCCAAGUGUUAUUGUUUAAGAGUUUAUUUGAUAUUGAAUUAUGAAAGUAUUUUGAAUUAUUUUAACAUUUAAAAAAUAAUUUUUCUUUAAAUAUUAAAAAAUUUAAAAAUGCUUCUUAUAAUUAUUAUCAAAUAAACUCUAAAUACUAUAUAUUAAAAACAUAAUUACUAGAAUGACCUCUAAAUGAAUUCAUAUUUUAAGUACACCGAGAAUGAUAGAAUUCAGUAAUGGUGUUUUAAAUUAAAUUGGUAAAUAUUUUGGGAUUUUCCAUUUGAAUAAUUUUUAGAAGUGAAUAAAUUAUUUUUCAGCUCUAACAUAAACAAAUCCUGUUAUUGUGGUGUGGAAAAACCUUUGCUCAAGAGUCAAGAGCGGUGGUGGAGGCUUGAGUUACGUACCCAAGUUGAAUUUUUGUAAAAGGAUGUGGAGGAGUAGAGUACAAGGAAAAUUGAUUUGCGGACAAGACCAGUUAGUUAGUGAAGCUUGAUUAAAGUCGAAGUUUUGGUGUUUUCUCCCAAGACUUCCUUUGUAGUGGUCCAAAAAAUUGGUAAGGAAAUAUGACAGACAUCGAAAGAGGAUUUGGCUAAAAGUCAAUAACUAUUUGGAGCUAUGUUCCCUUCUCGGGGCGAUGGCGUUUGCUAGUAAUCUUUGACUCGCUCUUCCCCGUAGCUUCCAUAGCAGUCCAAACCGGUUGCUUGUUCAAGGAAAACACCGUAUAAAUAAGAGGGAAGUGGCUAAAAGUCUAACUAAUUAAAAUCGUAGUCAUUUAUUGUGUGGAAUAGCGGGACACAUACGUAUUGAAGUUGAACUUGUCCAUCAAUUAAAUCUAAUACAAUUUUCUUUUUCAAUCCAACUAUUACGUAAUAAAUUUUAAAUUUCAAAUAUAUUUGCUUUUAAAAUUUACUCAAACCAAUUUAAUAACUUACAAAUAACUAAUUCAAUAACUUGGACUUCUUUAAUAUAGUAUUGUCCAAGCAUAUAUUUGAUAUGUCUUUAAUUUAUUUUUAAUUGUGCUUCUAAGCUACGUUUGGUUCUCGAAAAAUUUGAGAGAAAAUUUAAAAGAAAAAAAUUACAGAUGAAAAAAAAUAAAAAAUAGUUUAAAUAUAAUAAAUUAUAUUUGAUUUGAUUUUCUAUUUUUUUUUAUAGUGAAACAAAAUAUGAGAAAACCAUUUUUAUUAAUAUUUUUUUUCUUUAGAACACUUUCCAACAUAACUUACCAUUUAUUUUUUUGGUCAUGCAAAAGUUGAUGUAAAAAAUAUAGUUAGUCUCUCUUAUAUCAUUCAUUUGAAAUUGAGUAGAUUAAUGGUGUUUGUUUUUUUGGUUUUUUACUUAAAGCAAUUUAGUUUUAGAAUUUAGGUUGUUUGUUUUUCUACUUUUUCAUGACUUAUUAUAAACUUUUUACUAAAUAGAAAAAGUCAAAAUAUGUAGCUUUUUCUAAGUAGGAAAAAUAACAUAUUGAUUUUUUUUACUUUUUAAUACUUAAUAGAAAUAAAAUACUACAAAAACAAAUAACCUAAUAUUUAACACUAUUAAGCAUUAAGGUUCUAUUUAGAAUUAAGUAAAAAAACAAACAUCAUCUUCACACUAAGUAAUAACCCUAUAUUAGUCCUAAUAAGUAAUAAAAUUCCUCUACUAAUACAUGGUAUGGAUAAAAUAUUUACUAAAUUAACAACAUGAAUGUAAGUAAUUUAGAUAUUAGUAGGAUAUAUUUUUGUCUUAAUUAUUUAAAAAUAUAAACAUAUUUAUAUUAGGUUCUUGCUUUUUAUAAAUAUUAAUUCAACAUUUUUAGUAAUUUUUUUUUUAAAUUUAAUAAUUACAUAACCAAAAGUAAAAAAAAAAAAAAAUCAUUUUAUGAUGAUUUUUUGUCAAUUUUCAAUGAUUUCUUUCUAGUUCUUUGUUUUCAGUAGGUUAUUGAGUUAAUAAAGAAAUAAUGAAAUAUAAUGUGAUUGGGUUUUGGGUAUUUUUUUUUUUUAUAAUUUGUUUAAAAAAAAUUAGAUAAUAAAAAUAUCAUAUAUAUAUAUUUUGUUAUAAAAUUUUUAAAAGGAAAAAAAUUGUUGCUAAAUAUGAUUUUCAAAAACAUUUAUCACAAUUUUAAUUCAAAAAAUUGAAAAAUAAAAGUGUAAUGGAAGAUACUACUAAUGUAGUACAAGCAAUAAAUAUUUUUACCCUUAGUUGUGAAAAAUAUAGAGGAAAGAAAUUUUAUGAUGUCUGUUUCUAGAAGGUUGUAGGAAACCUGUUUGCCACGCCAGCCUAUUAAUAUUUUCUUCUUCGAAAAUUAAGAAAUUAUGGCAUUUUUUUAAAAAAAAAUUAUGCUUAAAAAUAGUUUUUUAUUUAGAAUAUAAAACUUAAAUUUAAAGAAAUUGAGAAUAUAUUCUAAAACUGAAUUAUCUUUUAGAAUAAAUUUAAGGGUUUUUUUUUAUUAUGUUCUAUUAAAUAAUAAUUAUUAAAAAUAUGAAAAUUAUUUUUUUUUAAAAAUAUAUUAUAUAUGUGUAUGUCAACUUUAAGAAAAAUAAAUAAAUAAAUAAAUAUAUAUAUAUAUAUAUAUAUAUAUAUUUUAUGUCUGAGAUUUUAAACAAAAUUUUAUUUAUAAAAAUAAUUAAAAAUUAUGUUUUGCCUAACAUGCCUAUGUUCUAGUCGUCUACGGAGUUGGUUCGGGAUGGCAGUGGAAAAUAUACUUUAGAUAUUUUCUCUUCUCUAUAGUCAGAUGCUUCUGCGUAUUUUAAAUGGUAAAGACCAAAACUCAAUUAUGAUAUUAUCGAAAAUAGACCCAGUCCAAAGUGGUCAUUCAUACUGGCAUAGUUCCAGGAAGGUGAUCAACAUCAGGGCUGUCUCAUUCAAGAAAGGAAAUUUGCACCCACGUUUUCUAGAUACAUUCCUACUGUUCUGAUGAUUCGGUAUGCACGAAUUUAUGCAAAGGUUAGGCAGAUUUCUGAAAAUAAUAAAAAUGGUAAUGAAGUGGACCCUUCUCUCUGUAAAAUAUUUUAAAUAAAAAAUACUUAUUUUUCUAAAAAUAAGUAUUUUCAAUAUGUAAUAUAUGUUUUAAAAAAAAAAAUUAAUUUACAAGCUUAUUUAUUUUUAUUUCUUAAAAAUAUUAUCGGCUUUUGUUGAUAAGAUUUGAGGAAAGAAAAAGGGCCACCUCACAUCGACUCUUCCAUGCCCGCAGGCCCCAACGAAGUCGACCACAAAGAUGACGCUAUCUUUUGGAAUUUUUACAGGGAGGUUUUUUCACAUACACACCAACCCAAGCCCACCUUCACCCUAUAAAAACCCCCACCCGGUUCCUCACAGAUCACCCCACUCCAACCAUCAAGCCUAUAUAUCUUCCGAAACUCAACAAUGGGCCUCUGCAAAAUCCUCUCCAUUUCCUCAUUCCUUCUCACCACCCUAUUCUUCACCUCCAGCUAUGCAGCUACGUUCAACAUCCAAAACCAUUGCUCCUACACGGUUUGGGCUGCGGCAGUCCCAGGCGGGGGCAUGCAGCUUGGCUCAGGCCAAUCCUGGAGCCUCAAUGUGAAUGCCGGCACCACUGGAGGCCGUGUUUGGGCCCGUACCAACUGCAACUUCGAUGCGUCAGGGAAUGGGAAGUGUGAGACCGGGGACUGUGGUGGCCUCCUCCAAUGCACGGCCUAUGGUACACCCCCUAACACCUUAGCCGAAUUCGCACUUAACCAAUACAGCAACUUGGACUUCUUUGAUAUAUCUUUGGUUGAUGGAUUUAAUGUUGCUAUGGCCUUUAAUCCUACUUCCAAUGGGUGCACCCGUGGCAUCAGUUGCACCGCCGACAUCGUGGGAGAGUGCCCCGCUGCGCUAAAGACUACCGGUGGUUGCAACAACCCAUGCACCGUUUUCAAGACCGAUGAAUAUUGUUGCAAUUCUGGGAGCUGUAAUGCUACAACUUACUCCGAGUUUUUCAAGACUAGGUGCCCUGAUGCUUAUAGCUACCCUAAGGACGAUCAGACAAGCACCUUCACAUGCCCUUCCGGGACCAAUUAUGAAGUUAUCUUCUGCCCAUAAAUCUAUUAUUUAAAUCAUAUGCUAGUAUGCCUCUACUGGUCUCAACUAUUAGGAGGCAAUGGUAUCCACCUUGGGUUCCAAAAGCCUAGAGGAAUAAAGUUGAGCCCAUAUUCGUGGUCAUGUAUUAAGAUUUCUACACUAGUCGAAGCAAUGGAUGCCUUUUUUUAUAUAGAUAUAUGCUAUCUUCUUCUUCUAAUCUCUGUGGUCCCUUCCAAGUAACAUUUCAUAUAGAUAUAUGAAUUUUAAUGAUUAUUCUUCUUCAGAAUUCUUUUUUUUUUUUUUUUUGAAAAUGAAAUUAAGCUUAACAUGAACAAAAUUCUGCUAUCAUGGUACGGAGAAAUCUUUGCUUGAGAGCGGUGGUUGAGGAUUGAGUCACCUACCCAAGUCAAAUUUUUGUAACAAUUAGAUGUUCAUCUUUAGAGUACUACAAGGAAAAUUGAUGUGAGGAUAAAGACCAGUUAACGAAGCUUGACUGACGUCAAAAUUUUAUUUUAUUUCCUUUUCUCUAAUCCUACCUUGUAGCGGUCCAAAUUAAUUGUCUUGACAAGGAAAUAUAACACAUAGCCAAGGAGGAUUUGCCUAAAAGCCAUCAUCCUGUUUGAAAACUACCUCCCUUAUUGUGCACAUGACACUUUUUCUAAGGGGAAUAAUCCAACCAUACAUUGGACCAAUAAAAUAAGUAUUUUUGGGAUUUUAUUUUUACCUUCACAAAUUGAGUGCGUAAAGUGCGGGGGAAAAAAACUCAUUCAUGCAUUUCAAUAACACUUGUGAAUUUAUUCCAAAAUUACAUUCAAAGUACACCUAUCAUUUUUUUUUACAUCAACUCUCUCACACCUCCAUUUCACCCGCCAUGUUCAUACGGUUUUUUUAUCUCUCACCAACAUAUUCAUAGUCUCAUGUAUUUUCUUAUAAAACAUCUUUAAUUUCAAUUUUUUUUUCACUCUCUAAUCUCUCCAUAUUUAUUGAUUUUAAUCAUUUUUUAGACACAUUAAACUUAAAAUGAUAAUAUAUAAUAAAUAAUUAAUAAUAAAAAAUUAAAUAAAAACAUAAUAUUUAAUGAACAAAAAUUAAAAUAUUAUCUCACAAAUAAUAUACUUGAUAAUUUUAAAUAUUAAUUAUAAUAAUGUUUAAGAUUUAAAUUUAAAAAUUAUGUUUUUAUUAUUUAGAGGCUUAUGAUAUAAUUUUUUUUAUAUUAAUACUAAAUAAAAGAUUUAUUGAUUUUGUAAAUCUUAUCAUACGUAAAAGUAAAAAAUAUCUUUGUAAUAUUAUUUUAUUAUUUUUAUUUUGAUAUAAAAUUUUUCAUUUGUAAUAUUAUUUUAUUAUUUUUAUUUUGAUAUAAAAUUUUUCAUAUCAAAAUCACAAUAAGUGAUAGUAGUUUUUUUUUUGUUAUGGUUUUAAUUGUGGUUUUAACUUUUUACUUGGUUAAAUUUUUUAAUUUUUUAUCAAGAUAAAAUAUAAAAGAAAAUAUGUUUUUUCAUAAAAAAAAAAUACAUUGUUUUAGGGAAAUUGAGAUACUUAUCUCUUUUAUCAUGAUGCAUAUACUCCUUUUGGAAUUCUCGGGAAGUGUUUUUAAAUUCUCUCCCACCUCGAAAAAGACUUUGAAACUUCAAGUAAGAAAAAUAAAUACAUCCUUUAAGAAAAAUGGAUUUUCUUUGAAUUGGUUGCCUCACAAUAUUUUAAAUGAUAAAGACUAAAAUUCAAUUAUGAUAUUAUCGAAAAUAGUCCCAAUCUAACGACUAGUCAAGAUAUUUGAAGUGGCCAAUCGUAUUGGAAGAAUUCCAGGAAGGUGCUCAACAGGGUUGUCUCAUUCAAAUAAGGAAAUUUGAAAUAAAUUUUCUCAAUACCAUGCACCCACGUUUUCUAGAUACAUUCCUACUGUUCUCAGAAUUGAGUGCUCAUGAAUUUACAUAGAAGUUAGGCAGAUUUCUGGAAAUAAUAAAAAUGAUAAUCACGUAGAACCUUGUCUCUGUAAAUUAUUUUAAAUAAAAAAUACUUAUUUUUCUAAAAAUAAGUAUUUUCAAAAUGUAAUAUAUGUUUUUUUUUUUUUUAAAUAAUAAUAAUUUACAAGCUUUUUUAUUUUUAUUUCUUAAAAAAAUUAUGGGCUUUUGUUGAUAAGAUUUGAGGAAAAACAAAAAGGGCCACACUACAUUGACUCUUCCAUGCCUACAGGCCACAACGAAGUCGACCACAAAGAUGACGCCAUCUUUUGGAAUUUUUACAGGACGGUUUUUCCACAUACACACCAACCCAAGCCCACCUUCACCCUAUAUAAACCCCCACCCAUUUCCUCACAGAUCACCCCACUCCAACCAUCAAGCCUAUCUUCCGAUCCUCAACAAUGGGCCUCUGCAAAAUCCUCUCCAUUUCCUCAUUCCUUCUCACCGCCCUAUUCUUCACCCCCAGCUAUGCAGCCACCUUCAACAUCCAAAACCAUUGCUCCUACACGGUUUGGGCUGCGGCAGUCCCAGGCGGGGGCAUGCAGCUUGGCUCAGGCCAAUCCUGGAGCCUCAAUGUGAAUGCCGGCACCACUGGAGGCCGUGUUUGGGCCCGUACCAACUGCAACUUCGAUGCAUCAGGGAAUGGGAAGUGUGAGACCGGGGACUGUGGUGGCCUCCUCCAAUGCACGGCCUAUGGUACACCCCCUAACACCUUAGCCGAAUUCGCACUUAACCAAUUCAGCAACUUGGACUUCUUUGAUAUAUCUUUGGUUGAUGGAUUUAAUGUGCCUAUGGCCUUUAAUCCUACUUCCAAUGGGUGCACCCGUGGCAUCAGUUGCACCGCCGACAUCGUGGGAGAGUGCCCCGCUGCGCUAAAGACUACCGGUGGUUGCAACAACCCAUGCACCGUUUUCAAGACCGAUGAAUAUUGUUGCAAUUCUGGGAGCUGUAGUGCUACAGAUUACUCAAGGUUUUUCAAGACUAGGUGCCCUGAUGCUUAUAGCUACCCUAAGGACGAUCAGACAAGCACCUUCACAUGCACUGCCGGUACCAAUUAUGAAGUUGUCUUCUGCCCAUAAAUCUAUUAUUUAAAUCAUAUGCUAGUAUGCCUCUACUAGUCUCAACUAUUAGGAGGCAAUGGUUUCCACCUUGGGUUCCAAAAGCCUAGAGGAAUAAAGUUGGGCACAUUUUCGUGGUCAUGUAACAAGAUUUCUACACUAGUAGAAGUAAUGGAUGUUUUUUUUUUUUAUAUAUAUAUAUAUAUAUAUAGAUUUAUGCGAUCUUCUUUCUUUCUAACCUCUAUGGUCCCGUCCAAGUAAUAUUUCAUAUAUAUUUUAUUCUAUAUAAUAUCUGCGGAUAAGAUCGGUUAAUGAAGCUUGACUAAAGUCAAAAUUUUAUUUUAUUUCAUUAUCCUACUUGGAAACUACCUUCCUUACUGGGUACAUGGCAUUUUUUUUUUAAUAAUAUUUGACUCAGGUUUCCGAGAAAACAUUGUAGCAGUCCAAACACGGCGUAAAUUGGGACUUUUCUCAAUAGUAGAGUAAUUUAAAAAAGUUAUUCUUCAAUUACUGUAGUGGAAGAAGUUAUUACAAAUAUAGGGUAGUUUUUGCCAGAUAGGAGAGAGGAGAGAGGAGAGAGGGUGAGAGAGAGGAGAGAGGAAAGAGGAGAUAGGAGAGAGGAGAGAGGAGAGAGGGUGAACGGGUAAAAUUUUUUAAAAAAGGGAACUCGUCUCUUGAAGAGACGAGUUCCAUGAAAAAAAAUAUAUAUAUAAUUUUUAAAAAAUUCUCAAAUUAAAAAAAAAAAAAUUGGAACUAAAGGCUUGACACGAGUUCCCAUGGGAAAAAUAUAUAUUAUUUAUUUAAAAUAUAUUUUUCAUUUAAAAAAAAUCCCAAAAAAAAUAAAAAAUAAAAUUUCUAAAAGGAACUCGUCUCUUUUUUAAAAAAAAUAUAUUUUUUAUUUUAAAAUCCCAAAUUUAAAAAAAAAAAACGCAAUUCCAAAAGGAACUCGUCUCUUUAAAAAUAUAUAUAUUUAAAAAAAAAAAUUCCUAAAGGGAACUCGUCUCUUGAAGAGACGAGUUCCCUUUAGGAAAAAAAAUAUUUUGUUUUUAAAAUAUAUUUUUUAUUUUAAAAAAUCCCAAAUAAAAAAAAAUAAAAAAUAAAAAACAAUUCCAAAGGGAACUCGUCUCUUCAAGAGACGAGUUCCCAUGUAAAAAAAAAUAUUUUUUUAAAAAAUAUAUAUAUUUAAAAAAAAAAAUUCAGAGUUACUUUAGGAAAAAAAAUAUUUUUUUUUUAAAAUAUAUUUUUUAUUUUAAAAAAUCCCAAAUUUAAAAAAAAAAAAACACAAUUCCAAAGGGAACUCGUCUCUUCAAGAGACGAGUUCCCAUGUAAAAAAAAUAUUUUUUUUAAAUAUAUAUAUUAAAAAAAAAAAAACAAUUCCUCAAAAUUCCUAAAGGAACUCGUCUNNNNNNNNNNNNNNNNNNNNNNNNNNNNNNNNNNNNNNNNNNNNNNNNNNNNNNNNNNNNNNNNNNNNNNNNNNNNNNNNNNNNNNNNNNNNNNNNNNNNAAAGGAACUCGUCUUUUGGAAGAGAACGAGUUCCCAUGUAAAAAAAAAAAAAAAUUUUAAAAAAAAUAUAUAUUUAAAAAAAUAAAAAUUCAGGGUUCCCUUUAGGAAAAAAAAUAAUUUUUUUUUAAAAAAAAUAUUUUUUUUUUUAAAAAAUCCCCAAUUAAAAAAAAAAAAAAAAAAAAAAAACCCAAUUCCAAAGGGAACUCGUCUCUUCAAGAGACGAGUUCCCUUGUAAAAAAAAUUAUUAUUUUUAAAUAUAUAUAUAUUAAAAAAAAAAAAAAAAAAAAACAAUUCCUCAAAAUUCCUAAAGGAACUCGUCUCUUCAAGAGACGAGUUCCCAUAUAAAAAAAAAAAUUAAAAAAAAAUAUAUAUUUAAAAAAAUAAAAAUUCAGAGUUCCCUUAGGAAAAAUAAUAAUUUUUUAAAAAAAUAUAUUUUUUAUUUUAAAAAAUCCCAAAUUAAAAAAAAAAAAAAAAAAAAAAAACACAAUUCCAAAGGGAACUCGUCUCUUAUUUUUUUUUUUUCCAUAGGAACUCGUCUCUUCAAUAGACGAGUUCCCUUGAUGAAUUGUUUUUUUUUUUUUUUUUUUUAAAUAUAUUUUUUUAAAAAAAAUUUGUUUUUACGUGGGAACUCAUCUUAAAGAGACGAGUUCCCUUGAGGAAUUGUUUUUUUAUUUUAUUUUAUAUUUUAUUUUAAUAUAUAUAUUUUAAAAUAAAAAAUAUUUUUAAGAGACGAGUUCCUUUGGAAUUGUGUUUUUUUUUUUUUUUUUUAAUUUGGGAUUUUUUAAAUUUUUUAAAAAAAUAAUUUUUUUUCCUAAAGGGAAUUCUGAAUUUUUAAUUUUUUAAAUAUAUAUAUUUAAAAAUUUUUUUUUUUUUAAAAAACAAAAAUUUUUUUUAAAAAAUAUAUAUAUUUAAAAAAAAAUUAUAUUUUUUNNNNNNNNNNNNNNNNNNNNNNNNNNNNNNNNNNNNNNNNNNNNNNNNNNNNNNNNNNNNNNNNNNNNNNNNNNNNNNNNNNNNNNNCGUCUCUUCAAGAGACGAGUUCCCUUUGGAAUUGUGUUUUUUUUUUUUUUUUUUCUUUUUUUUAAUUUGGGAUUUUUUAAAAUAAAAAAUAUUUUUUUUUUCCUAAAGGGAACUCUGAAUUUUUUUUUUAAAUAUAUAUAUAUUUUUUAAAAAAAUAUUUUUAAAAAAAAAAUAUUUUUUUUUGUUUUUUUUUUUUUAAUUUGGGAUUUUUUAAAAUAAAAAAUAUAUUUUAAAAAAAAAAUAUUUUUUUUCCUAAAGGGAACUCGUCUCUUCAAAAAACAAGUUACCUUUAGGAAUUUUUUUUUUAAAUAUAUAUAUUUUAAAAAAAAAAUAUUUUUUUUACAUGGGAACUCGUCUCUUCAAAAGACGAGUUCCUUUUGGAAUUGUGUUUUUUUUUUUUUUUUUUUUAAUUUAGGAUUUUUUAAAAUAAAAAAUAUAUUUUUAAAAAAAAUUAUUUUUUUUCCCAAGGAACUCGUCUCUUGAAGAGACGAGUUCCCUUUAGAAAUUUUUUUUUUUUUUUUUUGGAUUUUUUUAAAUAAAAAAUAUAUUUUAAAUAAAUAAUAUAUUUUUUUUCCCAGGGAACUCGUCUGAAGCCUUUAGUUCCAAAUUUUUUUUUUUAAUUUGAGAAUUUUUUAAAAAUUAUAUAUAUAUAUUUUUUCAUGGAACUCGUCUCUUCAAGAGACGAGUUCCCUUUUUUAAAAAAUUUUACCCGUUCAUCCUCUCUCCUCUCUCCUAUCUCCUCUUUCCUCUCUCCUCUCUCCUCUCUCUCACCCUCUCUCCUCUCUCCUCUCUCCUCUCUCCUAUGUGGCAAAAACUACCCUAUAUUUGUAAUAACUUCUUCCACUACAGUAAUUGAAGAAUAACUUUUUUAAAUUACUCUACUAUUGAGAAAAGUCCGCGUAAAUUGUCAUAGCCCUUUAUUGCAGAGAAUAGUGGAAAAGAAAGUUGUUAAAAGUGGCAUAAGUAAUUCAAACCAUAACCCUAUAUUGAGGAGAGUUAUGACUUAUGACACAUAAAUAUUGAAGUUCCACUUGUCUAUCAAUUAAAUAAAUAUAUGUUUUAAUUUAUUUUUGUAAAAAAAAUCAAUAAGAUUUUUAAUAUUUAUUUUACUAAUUUUAUUUAAAGAACUUAUGAUUUAAAAACGAGUUUAAUAUGAUUUAGAUAAGAAAUAUUUUAAUAUUUAAUAUAAAUUUUAUAAUACUAAUAUUACCUAUUAAAAAUUAAGAUUUUGGUUGCACCAUCAACAUUUAGUUAAAUCUAAAAAUAAAAAACUAUUUCAAACAAAGCUUUAUUUAUUCAUCUAUCAUGCUAAUGGAGCCUCAGAAGUUAAAAAGAUUAACUGGGCCAUGGUUAUAGAAGCCCAAAAGAUUUAUUGAUGGGGCGGAGCAGGUGGGCCUGGCCUGCCAUGUGCAGCUGUAUUUUUUUGACUUGUCUUCAAGACAACAAGUCAACGCCUCCGUUCAAUGAAGCGGAUGUAUCGGAAAAACCCAAAAGCUUCAUUUUCCCCUCAAAACGCGUAAACCCCAAAAUGAGCUUCUUCUGCAACUGCAGCAACCUCUCUACUUCCUUCUGCCUCCUCAUCCUCCCGUUCUUCUUCACCUUCAUCCAUGCAACCACUUUCGAAAUCCAAAACAGCUGCCCCUACACCAUCUGGGCAGCCGCCGUACCCGGCGGCGGAAGGCAACUCGACCAAGGCCAGACCUGGAACCUUUCAGUGAGCUCCAACAUAACGGGCCGCAUCUGGGGCAGAACCAAGUGCAGCUUCGAUGAAGCCGGAAGGGGGAGCUGCGAGUCCGGUGGAUGUGGAGGCCUCCUUGAAUGCCAAGAAUAUGGUUCACCGCCCAACACCAUUGCCGAGUACACCCUAAACCAAUCCAACAAAACUGAUUUAUUCGAUGUUUCUCUGGUGGAUGGAUUCAACCUUCCAAUGGAGUUUAGCCCAACUUCUGAUGGGUGCAGAGGGGCCAAUUGUACAGGCGACAUUAACGGGCCGUGCCCAAAUGAGUUGAGGGACCCGGGUGGGUGUAACAACCCAUGUACCGUUUUCAAAAAUUCUCAGUACUGUUGCGAUUCCGGGAGCUGUGGCCCUACAACUUACUCCGAGUUUUUCAAGGAUAGGUGCCCAAAUGCAUACAGUUACCCUGAGGAUGAUUCAACCAGUUUGUUUACGUGCUCCACUGGCUCUAACUAUCGUGUAGUCUUCUGCCCUUGAAUUAUGGGUUGCUAUUAAUUGUUUGAAGUAUUUUCUGAAUUGCCGUGUAAUUUUAUGCUAUGAGGGUAUUUCUUCCUAAGUUUUGUUGGAUGAUCCGUUGAAAUAAAUACUCGAUAACUUCUGUAUUAUUUUAAAAAGUAAUGUAUCAAUAUGCCCAUUUUUAAAAGCUAUAGUGUUAUAAAUUUCAAACUCUUUAAAAUUUUGAGAGAUGAUACUAAGAACUAGCAUACUUUUGUAAAAGAAGUCAUAAAAGGAGAGUCAUCUAAAAAUUUUAAACUUUUAAAAUUUUUCACUAAAACCAAUGUCUCUCUCCGCUUGUUGACUCGUCUGGAAGUCAAGUCCAACGACCCCAUAGCCGUCAACCGAAACCGUUCAUGAAAAAUCUGAUCACCUUCCUCGCCAAAAUGCCAAAAUCCCAAGAUGACUUUCUUCAGCAGCUGCAACAACCUCUCCACUUCCUUCUUCCUCCUCAUCACCACUCUCUUCUUCACCUUCCUCCACGCUUCCGCGCUUCCACCUUCCACAUCCAAAACAACUGCCACUUCACCCUGUGGGCCGCGCACGGCCGUUCCCCGCGGCGGAACGCAACUCUGAUGGGUGGGCCAAAAAAUUCCCAAAUUAUUGGGAGUGGGCCUUUAUAAGUCCCAAAUUGCUAGGGGUGGGCCAAUGGGUAGUGAUGAUGUCAUAGUGCUCUAGCCCAAUUUUUUUUUAAAAUAAACAAAUAAAGGAUUGUAAUCAGUUUAAAAUGUUGAUAUACGGACAAAAAUUGAACAUUCAGACUAAUAAAAGUUAAUAAAUCCCAUACCAAUUGUUACUAAAUUUAAAAUCUAUUUAUCUAAUGAAAAAAUUUAGAGAAGUUAAAAAACUUUAACAAAAAUAGGUAUAAUUCCAAUAGAGAUUAUAUUUGACAAUUUUUCAUACUAGUUCAUGGACAGAUAAUGAAAGAAAAGUUGAAUCAUAUUUUGUUUAAUUUACUCUUCUUUUUUUUUAAUAUUUUUAAAAUUAUAUAUAUUUUUCAUUUCUCCGUAUUUUCCCUUUUUUCUCUAAAAAAAUAUGUGAAUAUAACUUUGUUCAUUUACAAUUAAUAAUGUCUUUUUCCGCUAGUUUUCUCCAAGUGAACGAUAAAUGUACUUGCAACAAAGUGUGUUCAAAUUAUUUUUUCGGGUAUUUUUUUUGAAGCUUAAGUUCAUUUUUAGAAGAAAUAGAUAAUAGUUUUAUUAUAAUAGAGUUGUAAUGUUUUAUGUAUUUUUUUAAUACUUUAAACGUCUGUAAUUGACCUUGAAAAUAACAGUUUUUGAGCUUAUAGUAAGACGUUUAUACUUGUGGAGGCAUCCGAUCUAAUGAUUUGAAAUAUUUAUUAUUUGCGCAGUGAAUAAAGACGUUGAUAGGAUAUCCUUUUAUCAUUUUAAUAUUUCGACGGAGAGAGGCUUUUAUCCAGAUGGAUGUAGGACCCACAGACUUCUCAUUAAUUUUUGAUAAUUAUUUUAUAUUUUAUUUUAUUUUUAAAAAAUUGUUUUCAAAUGACAUCGUCAAAUAGGCUGUUCGUAAUCAUCACUUCCAAUGCAACAUCUUUCGUUGAAUGGAAACUCAGAAAAUCUAAAGUAUCAUCGUAAAAUUCAUGAGGAAUAUGCCAGAAGAUGACCGUUUCAAACCUUUUAUAAUAUUAUUAUAUUUUCUGUAUUUUCUUUCCGCAAAUUUUCCUGAACUAAACACGAGUGAUAAACUACACCUUGAUUUGCGGGGAAAAUCCAUUGGCUAGAGAUUGACUGAAAGCCAAAACUUAGGCUUCGUUGCAAGACAUUUUGGCAGCCAACGACUCAGGCAAACACCGUAAAAGUCUAAAGAGACGCUGUCCGCCCAAACAAUCCACAAAUCUCUUAUCUUUUUAUCAUCUAAUACUCGGAUUCUAGAAAAGUCUACUGUAUCUCUUAGGUUAUAUUUAGUUUCGAAAAAUACAAAAGAAAGAAAAAAAAUAUUAAAAAAAAUAAUUUUUUCAUAUUCGAUUGUCUUAUAAAUUAUUUUAAAAAAAAUUAAAUAUGAUUAAAAUUAAUUAAAAAUUUAUGGAUUUUAAAAUUAUUUAAUCUUUAUAUUGAUGAGUUAAAAUAAAUAAAAAUAAUUUUUCAUCUUUUAACUCUAUUUUUUAUUUUUCUUCAUUUUUUUCUUUUAUUUUUUUUCUUUUUUUUCUUUUUCUUUUUUAUAUAUAUUUUCCCUUAAAUUUUAUGAGAACCACAUAUAAUCUUAAAAUUUUAAUAAUUUUAAUUUAUCAUUCUAAUCAUUCUAGAAAAUUUCAUCAUUAAAAAAUGUAAGAAAAAAAAAUUAGGGUGAAUAAAUUAUUUUUAUAUAUUAUUUUAAACUUAUUUUAUUUAUUUUAAAUUUUAAUAUAAAAAUUGUAUGAGCUUGUAAUUAAAUUUAUUUUAUUAAUUUUUUUUUAUAAUAUAGUCAAACAUAUAUAAAAAAAAAUCAAUUUUAUUAACAAUUUUUUUCUUUUCUUCAUUGAUUUGCUCCUGACGCCAUUUCAUCUAGAAUGGCAUAGAUAAUUUAAAGCAACAGUCAAAGGUCAUCCAAAAAAUUGAACAUGAUAGGUUGUUCAAAUGCAAGUUUACCGGUUCCCCGGAUUCUUCUAAGUUCUGGCAGCUUGACUUCACUUCCGCAUUCUGCAUUGGAGAUGUCACAGAUGUAUGGCCAUGAUUAAUGCCGUUCUCUUCAGUCAUUCCUAUGUGUGUGGACGCGUGAUGAAUUGGAAUCUAAGCAGGAAAGAUGCACGCUCCAUUCAAGUCACGUUUUCUCGUGGGAGGAUUGUCUUGAUUUUAUUAUGCGUGUAUUCUCCUGACUCUACCAUGGCCACUUGGCUUGCCAAGUCUAGAGUAAAGCCAUGAGUGGACAAUUCCAUUUCUUUCUUCAUCUUUUUCCACGGAAUCAAGUCCAACAAAAUGCUGAAAUUUCUAUUCGAAUUAACCCACUUCUCACGUAAUCUCCCAAACCAUUGCCACCAUUCAUCUAUAAAAACCCUACCAUACAUGCAUCUCCAAAACAUCAAUUAACCCAAACCCAUGUUAGUGCUCUGUCUUGGCUUGCCCUGUUUAAGAACAUUCUCUUUUAUAUAUAUUGUUAUACAACUUUCUACGUGAUAUGUUCUCAUUGGUUUAAUGUAUUACUAAAAAAUGUUCUUCAGGAUUUUGGAUGAGGUUGUGUUUGCAUUAACAUGAUCACUUUCAAAUUAUUUUUUGUAGGCAUGGUUCGUGCAGCUAUCAAGUACAAAUAGUUUGUGUAACUGGAUGUUGAUCGUCAUCUUCAUUGUGGUUACUUUUAAUAUCACUUUGUCUAAAUUAUUCUAAGACUAAACAUGAAAGUUCAAUAUCAUUUUGUUUAAAAUAGUAUAAGAAGGAACAUUGAAUAUGCAAAACAUUCAUACGAAGGACAAUCCGAUAGAUGCCUUAAUAAAAUCAAUUAACACUGAUAAAUUCAAUUAGUGCAAAUCCUCUUUUGAUUUCACAAUAACAUAAGCAACAUAUGAUAGGGUAAAACUUAGAAAUAUGAUUUCAAGUGAAAUAAUAUUAACGUUAAAGUCAUCUCACAUAAGAAAAAAAAAGAAAAAAAAAAGAGCUUCUUUAUGCUAUCUGAGGGGCAUCCAUCCUUGAUAUUCUUCAUCCUAAAAAAAACUUUUAUUUUUUUGCAAGUUUUUAUGUUAUCUCCUCUAAAUCGUAAAAAGAGAGGUUACAAUUUUGUAUUUAUAUGAUGAAUAUUUUUUAGUUUUGUUCUUUGGGUUUCCUUCAUAAUUAAAAGGGUUUAAUAUGUAAGUAUUUUUAAUUAUUUUAUUUAUUCUAUUACAUUAUUAUUUUAUUAUUCUAUUUUUAAAUUAUGGGAGCAUCAUUUCAAAACACUACCUUUAAAAAAAUAAAUAAAAAUAUAGUUUUUUAUAUUUGAGAUUUUAAACAAAAUUUUAUUUAUAAAAAUAAUUAAAAUUACGUUUUGCCUAACAUGCGUACGUUGUAGUCAUCCGCGGAGUUGGUUCGAGAGGACAUUGGAAAAUCACACAAAGUGAUCAUGUGCCUUUAAUUGGAAAAUAAACAGUGGAUUUUCUCUUCUCUAGAAUUGGUUGCUUCUCAGAUAAAGGUCAAAAUUCAAUUAUGAUAUUAUGGAAAAUAGUCCCAGUCGAACCAAUUUUCAAGGCAUUUGAAGUGGCCAUUCAUUCAAGAAAGGAAGUUUGAAAUAAAUUUUUCCAACGCAACGCGGCACGCACCCGGCCAUGUUUUCAAGAUGCCUUCCUACCUGUCCUCAGAAUUCAGUAUUCAUGAAUUUCCAUAAAAGUUAGACAGGUUUCUGAAAAUAAUAAAAAUGAUAAUGAUGUGGACCCCUUGAAAUAAAUUCAGUAUUCAUGAAUGGGCAAUUCUGGUUCUUUCAUCAUCUUUUUAUCUGUAAUCAAUCAUCCAAUCAAGUCCAACAAAAUGCUGAAAUUUCCAUUCGAAUUAACCCACUUCUCACGUAAUCUCCCAAACCAUAGCCACCCUUCAUCUAUAAAAACCCCACCAUACAUCCAUCUCCAAGACACCGCAUUAGCCCAAACCCAUAAGAAUUCUAAAUACUUCGAUUCUGAUCAUCUGAUUCAUUCAACAUCAAAAUGCGCUUCACCACCACCCUCCCAAUUCUCUUCCCUCUCCUCCUCAGCCUCCUCUUUACCUCCACCCAUGCAGCCACCUUCGACAUCCUCAACAAAUGCACCUACACCGUCUGGGCAGCCGCCUCCCCCGGUGGUGGACGGAGACUUGACUCCGGCCAGUCCUGGACAAUCACCGUCAACCCCGGCACCACCAAUGCUCGCAUCUGGGGCCGAACCUCAUGCACCUUCGACGCCAAUGGGCGUGGCAAAUGCGAAACUGGUGACUGCAAUGGCCUCCUCGAAUGCCAGGGCUACGGUUCUCCCCCAAACACCCUCGCUGAAUUCGCUCUAAACCAGCCCAAUAACCUCGACUACAUCGACAUCUCCCUUGUCGAUGGCUUCAACAUCCCCAUGGACUUCAGCGGCUGCCGC